AACCGCGGCGUAUCGCGGAUGAU
rnacentral:snRNA from 1 species